rnacentral:rRNA from 1 species
CUGAAACUCGCCUCUUUGAAGUCGGAAUCGCUAGUAAUCGCAGAUCAGCAUGUUGCGGUGAAUACGUUUCCUGGUCUUGUACACACCGCCCGUCAAACCAUGAGAGUCGCCAACACCCGAAGUCCGCUUUGCGGCCUAAGGUGGGGGAGAUGAUUGGGGUUAAGUCGUAACAAGGUAGC